GCCCAGGGCACAAGGCUUGGUUAUGUAAUCACAGGUUUUCUCGAUAAAGAAACCUCAUCUGAUACGGAAAUCAACCCUAUUCUGGUACAAGACAGAGAUGAUCUUGCAGGACCGAGCGCUGCUUAUCAGCAAACGAAAGAUAAAAAUCCAGUGAAUGAUAUUGAAGGUAGCAAACGGUAGAAUGAGAUUUCACUCGAUGAAAAAAGGAUUAAUUUAACGAACUUAGCAUUGAUAGAUCAUAAAAUAAAGGAGCAUGAAGAUAUAAGUAGCCAAUCAAGAACUAACGACACUGACUCGUCCGAUCGAGGAUCAACCGCUAUACAUUAUAGUUCAUUGCAGCUAACUGAACUUUAUACUACAAAAGAAAAACCAAUUGAUACAGAACCGACUUCCCAUCAACUUAAAACCAAUAAGAAGCCUGACUUUUGUUCAACAUUUUUAAAUUUAACGAAGAAAUACGGACUCCCACAAGUAGAGGCCUUGAAGCAGACUUACAUCCUCGAACAUCAACCUGGAAGGUUCUGACAAAAAGAAUUGAGCGGUGGAGGUCAAAGUAUGUCGGGGGAAGAAUGCUUCUAAACUUAAAGAGGCUUUAAAGAUACCGUUGACCACCCGACGCAUUUGCACAGAAGCGUUAUGCAGACACAUGAAACCAAACUGAAGAUUCGGACUUGCGUCCUGGAAGAGAUGAACACCAAAAACCUUUUUUAGGUUGAGAAGAUAACAUGAAAGAAGAAAUAUAACAUUAAAGAGACGCGUGAAGGAACGAAAUAGCUGCGACUGGCAGAGCUUUAGCCAACCAGCGGAUUCCUUAGAUAUUUUAUUAUUUUUUAUUCAUAAGCUGUUUUCACUAAUACGCCACAAAGCCGCUAGGGGUUUUACAGGCUAAUUGGCGCUAUAGGCUUGGUGGGGCGCAAUAGGCUACGUGUGUUAGCGAAAAAAGCAGAGUUG